rnacentral:rRNA from 1 species
AAAACAUCACCUCUUGCUUUUCAUCGAAUAAGAGGCCCCGCCUGCCCUGUGACUGUAUGUUUAACGGCCGCGGUAUCAUGACCGUGCAAAGGUAGCGCAAUCACUUGUCUUUUAAAUGAAGACCUGUAUGAAUGGCAUAACGAGGGCUUAACUGUCUCCUUUUCCAGGUCAAUGAAAUUGAUCCCCCCGUGCAGAAGCGGGGAUGAAUACAUAAGACGAGAAGACCCUGUGGAGCUUUAGACACCUGAGUAGCUCUUUAUCAAGUACCCCCUCUUAAGGGGGAACAAUCCUAAGACCCCUACUCAAUGUCUUCGGUUGGGGCGACCAUGGAGUAAAAAAAACCCUCCACGCGGAAUGACAGUACUACUUACCAAAAUCAAGGGCCCCCGCCCUAAUUAUCAGAACCUCUGACCGCACAGAUCCGGCAAAGCCGAGUAACGAACUAAGUUACCCCAGGGAUAACAGCGCAAUCUCCUUCCCGAGACCCUAUCAAAAAGGAGGUUUACGACCUCGAUGUUGGAUCAGGACAUCCUAAUGGUGCAGCCGCUAUUAAGGGUUCGUUUGUUCAACGAUUAAAGUC